CAAACUGUAGAACAGCACCUCACCUCGCUGACUCCCUGCUUCUAACACUCACAACUAAUACACUGAGAGGAGAAGCCACCCACAGUGCUGGGAAGUUGGGAAGUGCCAGUGAUCAAGCAGGAAGAGAGAGGAAGCUGCACCUAGUCUCAUUCUCCUUGUUUCCUUCCCCCUGGUUUGUGUCUGCCUCAACUGAAGUCAUAAAACAUAACAAAGGCACAAGGGAACACUCCUUUGUAUUUGCUUCAGCUACUCUGCACCUGAGAUACCAGACCAUAAAGACGAUGUGGGUGUGCCAGUGCCAGUGCUGCAUGAAUUUAUUACCAUCUGUAAAAUGAAGACCUUCCUGGUGUAAUUACGACAAUUUGCAUGGCAAAUGAAGAAAAUGAAGCAAAUAAUGAUAACCCUUCUCAAAUCGAAAACAAACAGUAUUCAUCUUCCCGGCAUUACUGAACAAACUUCCACUAAGACAUGUUUCAAGGCAUCACUCAAAACACUGAUCUGGGUUUAAGACCAUUCCACGAUGUAAUCAGGCCCCACCAAAACUGAAAGCUGCAGUAACUUUAAGCCACAGCCAUACCCGUGUGCAUGCACUCAUGUGAAAGUAUCGCACACACUAAAUUGCACUGAGGCCGUGAGAACAUGCAACUUAGUAAUGUGCAAUAUCUCCACCAGAGCAAGCAGAAUGGGAGCUUCAGGGAAGAAGGGUAUGGUGCAUUCAGGAAGAGAACGACAUGCUGCUCAGGGAAAGGAAAAUGGUUCAGGCAAAGGUGUGCAUGCUACUACUUGGAAACCUGUGAUUUGGAGACUUACUGCUUCAUCCAUUCAGGACAAAAACAAAACAAAAAUAAAAAUCCAGACAAGAGCAACCCCUCCCCAGUUCAGGGGUAAAGAAUAUAAUUUUCCUACUUAAGCAGUAAAACAGGUGACUCAUGAACCAACUUUAUUUUACAGAACCCUUCUGAGCAAAGCAAAUCUCACACUGUUAUGGUCAGAUAAUUAUUUGACUGAACCUUCAAAAUACUGCAUUAUUAACUAUAGCUACAAUGAAAAAAAUCACUAACUACUAUUGAGAAUUAAAAUUAUCUAA